AUUUAGGAAAAUGUCUUACCCUUUUUUUUAUUUCGGUAAGACAUUUUUAGGAAAAGAAGCAACACCGAUCUUCCCUUUCCAUUCCCCUUCCCCUUUCCUUAUUAUUUUCAGUAAGAGUUUGCUUUGAUCCGUGAAAUUUUUUAUACUUAAGUCGGCAAUCUCUCCUUAUAAAUUAAUCAACAAAUUCCCCCAAGUUUCUCAUCAAAAUUAAAAAUUUUCAAUUGUCUUCUCUUUCAAUCUUCUCGAUUUCGAAGCAACCUCUCGAUUCCGAAUAUCUCCCAGAAGCUUUGGGUAGAGAUCUCGUGGUAGAUCCAAAGCUGAUUCAUCCUUUACACCUAGCAAUGUCAUCUCCAGAAGCAUCACUGAAACGUUAUAUAGAAGAUACAUGGAUGCAGGAGUUGAAUGCUAACAGACCUCCGACAGCUACUAGAUGUUAUCCUCAAGUGGCAAUUGAUCGAGGCUCUCUCGCGUAUAUAUAAUAUAUCCUUCCAAAUCUUUUUCCAUAUCCUCCUUCAUGUUCAUGUUACUACAUGCACACGGUAGGCCUUGAGAUUAUAAAAGAUGCACAGUUUGGGAACCAGAUUACAAGGUGCUAUGAUAGUAUGAAAGAUACAAGUUAGAGAAGCAGAUUGUGCACGGCGUAGGUUUCCUUUUGGAUAUGUGCUGAAAUUUGCAAGUUGGGCUUCUCCCUCUAUAAAUUGAGGCACAGCCAGGUAGAAGUCAAAUGGUUUCUUCCAAUGGGUUGGUAGUGUUGAGUAUUUUUCACAUUUAUUUUUAUAUAUAUUUUUUAGUCCUUGUUUUAGGUUUAAUUCUUUUUACUAUGUGAUGAUGAUGAGGGAUCAUAUUGGGCGUUGCUUGUAUCAAGAGGUGUUGAUUGGUGUAAUUCUCUUUUCUUUGUACAAUGUAAUGAUUGUGUGGAGAAAACCAAGUGUUGUUCAAACAUGAAAAUUUUACAAGUUUUGGUC